rnacentral:rRNA from 1 species
UACGUAGGGCGCGAGCGUUAAUCGGAAUUACUGGGCGUAAAGCGUGCGCAGGCGGUUUUGUAAGCCAGAUGUGAAAUCCCCGGGCUCAACCUGGGAAUGGCAUUUGGGACUGCAAGGCUGGAGUGCGGCAGAGGAGACGUGGAAUUCCUGGUGUAGCAGUGAAAUGCGUAGAUAUCAGGAGGAAUACCGAUGGCGAAGGCAGGUCUCUGGGCUGACACUGACGCUCA